rnacentral:tRNA from 1 species
GAGGGUAUAGCUCAGUGGUGGAGUGCUUGCCUAGCAUGCACAAGGUCCUGGGUCCAAUCCCCAGUACUACCA